GACGAACGCUGGCGGCGUGCUUAACACAUGCAAGUCGAACGGAAAGGCCCUGCUUUUGUGGGGUGCUCGAGUGGCGAACGGGUGAGUAACACGUGAGUAACCUGCCCUUGACUUUGGGAUAACUUCAGGAAACUGGGGCUAAUACCGGAUAGGAGCUCCUGCUGCAUGGUGGGGGGUGGAAAGUUUCGGCGGUUGGGGAUGGACUCGCGGCUUAUCAGCUUGUUGGUGGGGUAGUGGCUUACCAAGGCUUUGACGGGUAGCCGGCCUGAGAGGGUGACCGGCCACAUUGGGACUGAGAUACGGCCCAGACUCCUACGGGAGGCAGCAGUGGGGAAUAUUGCACAAUGGGCGGAAGCCUGAGGCAGCAACGCCGCGUGCGGGAUGACGGCCUUCGGGUUGUAAACCGCUUUCGCCUGUGACGAAGCGUGAGUGACGGUAAUGGGUAAAGAAGCACCGGCUAACUACGUG
rnacentral:rRNA from 1 species